rnacentral:rRNA from 1 species
GAUGAACGCUGGCGGUGUGCCUAAUACAUGCAAGUCGAGCGAACAGACGAGGAGCUUACUCCUCUGACGUUAGCGGCGGACGGGUGAGUAACACGUGGAUAACCUACCUAUAAGACUGGGAUAACUUCGGGAAACCGGAGCUAAUACCGGAUAACAUGUUGAACCGCAUGGUUCAACAGUGAAAGACGGUCUUGCUGUCACUUAUAGAUGGAUCCGCGUCGCAUUAGCUAGUUGGUAAGGUAACGGCUUACCAAGGCAACGAUGCGUAGCCGACCUGAGAGGGUGAUAGGCCGCACUGGAACUGAACCACGGUCCAGACUCCUACGGGAGGGAGCAGUAGGGGACCGGACGCAAUAGGCGAAAGCAUGGCGGAGCAACGGCACGUGAGUGAAGAAGGUCUUCGGAUCGUAAAAAUCUGUUAUUAGGGAAGAACAAAUGUGUAAGUAGCUAUGCACGUCUUGACGGUAACUAAUAAGAAAGCCACGGCUAACUACGUG